rnacentral:rRNA from 1 species
GACGAACGCUGGCGGCGUGCUUAACACAUGCAAGUCGAACGGAAAGGCCCUGCUUUUGUGGGGUGCUCGAGUGGCGAACGGGUGAGUAACACGUGAGUAACCUGCCCUUGACUUUGGGAUAACUUCAGGAAACUGGGGCUAAUACCGGAUAGGAGCUCCUGCUGCAUGGUGGGGGUUGGAAAGUUUCGGCGGUUGGGGAUGGACUCGCGGCUUAUCAGCUUGUUGGUGGGGUAGUGGCUUACCAAGGCUUUGACGGGUAGCCGGCCUGAGAGGGUGACCGGCCACAUUGAGACUGAGAUACGGCCCAGACUCCGACGGGAGGCAGCAGUGGGGAAAAUUGCACAAUGGGCGGAAGCCUGAUACAGCAACGCCGCGUGCGGGAUGACGGCCUUCGGGUUGUAAACCGCUUUCGCCUGUGACGAAGCGUGAGUGACGGUAAUGGGUAAAGAAGCACCGGCUAACUACGUG